GGACCCGUAGCUUAAUUGGAUAGAGCAUCUGACUACGGAUCAGAAGGUUACAAGUUCGAGUCUUGUCGGGUUCACCA
rnacentral:tRNA from 1 species